rnacentral:rRNA from 1 species
CACCAGACUCCUACGGGAGGCAGCAGUGGGGAAUAUUGCACAAUGGGGGAAACCCUGAUGCAGCGACGCCGCGUGAAGGAAGAAGUAUUUCGGUAUGUAAACUUCUAUCAGCAGGGAAGAAAAUGACGGUACCUGACUAAGAAGCCCCGGCUAACUACGUGCCAGCAGCCGCGGUAAUACGUAGGGGGCAAGCGUUAUCCGGAUUUACUGGGUGUAAAGGGAGCGUAGGCGGUGCAGCAAGUCAGAAGUGAAAACCCAAGGCUCAACCAUGGGACUGCUUUUGAAACUGUCAAACUAGAGUACGGGAGAGGUAAGAGGAAUUCCUAGUGUAGCGGUGAAAUGCGUAGAUAUUAGGAGGAACACCAGUGGCGAAGGCGUCUUACUGGAUCGAAACUGACGUUGAGGCUCGAAAGCGUGGGGAGCAAACAGGAUUAGAUACCCGAGUA